UUACGGCCAUAUCAUGUUGAAACAUCGGUUCCCGUACGAUCACUGAGGUCAAGCAACGUCGAGCCUGGUCAGUACCGAUAUGGGUGACCGUUUUCGAA